rnacentral:rRNA from 1 species
UGAACGCUGGCGGCGUGCUUAACACAUGCAAGUCGAACGGUAACAGCGGAGCUUGCUCCGGCUGACGAGUGGCGCACGGGUGAGUAAUGUAUAGAUAACGUGCCCCGGAGAGUGGGAUAACAGUUGGAAACGACUGCUAAUACUGCAUAUUGCUUUUCUUCAUAAGGAGAAAAGUGAAAUGAAUUUCGCUCCGGGAUCGGUCUGUAUGGUAUCAGCUUGUUGGUGAGGUAAUGGCUCACCAAGGCAAUGACACCUAGCUGGUCUGAGAGGAUGAUCAGCCACACUGGAACUGAGACACGGUCCAGACUCCUACGGGAGGCAGCAGUGGGGAAUAUUGCACAAUGGGGGAAACCCUGAUGCAGCAACGCCGCGUGGAGGAUGACACAUUUCGGUGCGUAAACUCCUUUUAUAAGAGAAGAUAAUGACGGUAUCUUAUGAAUAAGCACCGGCUAACUCC